rnacentral:rRNA from 1 species
AUGCCGACCAAAGUGAAAUUUUUUGGGCGGAAAUCUUUACAUGGCAUGCUUCCAGGUCUCGCAAUUCUCGCGAAUAGGCAUAUCCCCACAAGUGCACAAUGCCCGGUUUGCAAGAAUGGCCCGGGAGAUAUUAAGCAUAUUAUGUUCACUUGUGACCAUGCAAAACAAGUCUGGAAGGCCUUGGGGCUAUUUGAUUAUAUUUCUGAGGUCAUUCCCGUUGACAGGUCAGGUUCAGUUAUUCUUGAGGAAAUUCUUCGAUGCCCACAUAAUUUUUGUCCGGCGGUUAAGAUGGGUAUAAAAGAGCUAAUUCUUCUGGGGGCAUGGUACAUCUGGUGA